AGGAUUAACGCUGGCGGCGUGCCUAACACAUGCAAGUCGAACGAGGUAGCAAUACCUAGUGGCAGACGGGUGAGUAGCGCGUGGUCAACCUACCGUUGAGUGGGGGAUAACUAGCCGAAAGGUUAGCUAAUACCGCAUACGUCUCCGAGGGGCAUCCCUUGGUGAUAAAAGGAGCAAUCCGCUCGAUGACGGGACCGCGUCCCAUUAGCUAGUUGGUAGGGUAACGGCCUACCAAGGCAUCGAUGGGUAGCUGGUUUGAGAGAGCGACCAGCCACACUGGGACUGAGAUACGGCCCAGACUCCUACGGGAGGCAGCAGUGAGGAAUUUUCCGCAAUGGGCGAAAGCCUGACGGAGCGACGCCGCGUGUGGGAAGAAGGCCUUCGGGUCGUAACCACUGUCGAAGGGAAGAUAAUGACGGUACCCUUGGAGGAAGCCCCGGCUAACUACGUGCCAGCAGCCGC
rnacentral:rRNA from 1 species